GACUACAGGCAUGGCGGUCUGGGUCCUGUCGCGCCUGCUGAGCGCUCCGCGCCUGGCGCUGGCCAAGGCGGUCCUGAGGCACGUGAAUGGCCAGGAUCAGAUUGUGCCCGGCCUGUACGCCUGUGGGGAGGCCGCCUGUGCCUCGGUACAUGGUGCCAAUCGGCUCGGGGCAAACUCGCUCUUGGACUUGGUUGUCUUUGGUCAGGCAUGUGCCCUGAGCAUCGAAGAGUCAUGCAGGCCUGGAGAUAAAGUCCCUCCAAUUAAACCAAACGCUGGGGAAGAAUCUGUCAUGAAUCUUGACAAAUUGAGAUUUGCUGAUGGAAGCAUAAGAACAUGAGAACUGCGACUCAGCAUGCAGAAGGUUGAUUCCAUGACUUUGCUGUUGUGACUAGUGCUGCGAUAAAUACACAAGGCUGCACCAGAAUCUGGAGGUAAACAGCGGUAGGACGUACUCCUCACCGUAUCAAGAAUAUGAAAGAGACCAGGAGGCCUGAACUAUACAGAAGUGCACUUCUUUUCCACAUAGAAGGUCAGCAGACUAGGGCAGAAUUAGUGACUGCUUGGCAUCCAGGACAGCCUUCUGUGGUUCACUCGUGUGUGCUUGGGUGUGACCUCCGUGACCUGACCGUCGAUGGCUGUCAUGGAUGAGUCACAGCGUGGAGGAGAGGGAACCGCAGGACCGCCGGAGAAGCUCAGUCCCCAGCAGGGCAGCUUUCUCUUAGAGGUUUCCUGGAGUUCAACACAACACUGGUGCUUACAUCUCAGGCCCGGAUAUUGAUCAUGUCAUCAUGCCUGGCUUCCAGCAGCUUGGAAAUGUCUUUAAGCUGGACCUGUUGCUGGCCCUAAAUAUACUCGGAAGAGAGGGAGAGUGGGCGGCGGGUGGAAACUGAUCUGUGGCCUGUGCGCUGGGAGUCGGUCCAGUAGGACCAUCUGUGAUGAUGGAAAUGUUCCGAGUGUUUGCCAUCCAGUAUGGCAGCCAUUAGCCAUGGGGCCGUGGAGAACCUGAUAUAUAGUCAGUCUAAGAAACUGAAUUCCUCUAAUAACAAGGAUUCUUGUCCAUGAA
rnacentral:lncRNA from 1 species